rnacentral:rRNA from 1 species
GUGCCAGCAGCCGCGGUAAUACAGAGGGUGCGAGCGUUGUCCGGAAUCACUGGGCGUAAAGGGCGCGUAGGUGGCCUGGCCAGUCAGUGGUGAAAGCUCGUCGCUCAACGACGAGUCGGCCAUUGAUACUGCCGGGCUGGAGCACUGUAGAGGCAGAUGGAAUUCCGGGUGUAGCGGUGGAAUGCGUAGAGAUCCGGAAGAACACCGGUGGCGAAGGCGGUCUGCUGGGCAGUAGCUGACACUGAGGCGCGACAGCGUGGGGAGCAAACAGGAUUAGAUACCCCGGUAGUCC